rnacentral:rRNA from 1 species
AUUGAACGCUGGCGGCAGGCCUAACACAUGCAAGUCGAACGAGUGGCGGACGGGUGAGUAAUGUCUGGGAAACUGCCCGAUGGAGGGGGAUAACUACUGGAAACGGUAGCUAAUACCGCAUACCAUCGGAUGUGCCCAGAUGGGAUUAGCUAGUAGGGGGGGUAAUGGCUCACCUAGGCGACGAUCCCUAGCUGGUCUGAUAGGAUGACCAGCCACUUGGGAACGGAGACACGGUCCAGACUCCUACGGGAGGAAGCAUUGGGGAAUAUUGCACAAUGGGCGCAAGCCUGAGGCAGCCAUGCCGCUGGUAUGAAGAAGGCCUUCGGGUUGUAAAGUACUUUCAGCGGGGAGGCGUUACCCGCAGAAGAAGCAACGGCUAACUCCGUGCCAGCAGCCGCGGUAAUAC